UUGAACGCUGGCGGCAGGCCUAACCCCUGCAAGUCGAGCGGAUGAAGGGAGCUUGCUCCUGGCUUCAGCGGCGGACGGGUGAGUAAUGCCUAGGAAUCUGCCUGGUAGUGGGGGAUAACGUCCGGAAACGGGCGCUAAUACCGCAUACGUCCUGAGGGAGAAAGUGGGGGAUCCUCGGACCUCACGCUAUCAGAUGAGCCUAGGUCGGAUUAGCUAGUUGGUGGGGUAAAGGCCUACCAAGGCGACGAUCCGUAACUGGUCUGAGAGGAUGAUCAGUCACACUGGAACUGAGAAACGGUCCAGACUCCUACGGGAGGCAGCAGUGGGGAAUAUUGGACAAUGGGCGAAAGCCUGAUCCAGCCAUGCCGCGUGUGUGAAGAAGGUCUUCGGAUUGUAAAGCACUUUAAGUUGGGAGGAAGGGCAGUAAGUUAAUACCUUGCUGUUUUGACGUUACCAACAGAAUAAGCACCGGCUAACUUCGUG
rnacentral:rRNA from 1 species